rfam:Camelus ferus unplaced genomic scaffold scaffold850, whole genome shotgun sequence.
AGCGGUAUAGCUCAGUAGUAGAGCGUGUGCUUAGCAUGCACGAGGUCCUGGGUUCAAUCCCCAUCACUUCCA